rnacentral:sRNA from 1 species
ACACGAGGAAGGAGGUGGUCUGAAGUUGAAGGACAUACGGACACGUGAGGUGGCUGCCCGCUAGCCGCUGACGCUUCCGGAAUUCACCGACCGCGUCGGCGGCCGGCGAAUACCGGGCAGUUACCCGGCCCCCGAGCUUUCCGGUCUCGUCCAGACCGGAGUCGCGCAUCCCGCGCGAAGGCUCGGGGGCUGUCCGCG